CCAAUAGCGUAUAUUAAAGUUGUUGCAGUUAAAAAGCUCGUAGUUGAAUUUCAGGGGUUAGUAGGUUGGUCAUGCCUCUGGUAUGUACUGGUCUCACUGAUUCCUCCUUCCUGAUGAGCCGUAAUGCCAUUAAUUUGGUGUUGCGGGGAAUUUGGACUGUUACUUUGAAAAAAUUAGAGUGUUUAAAGCAAGCUAACGCUUGAAUACAUUAGCAUGGAAUAAUGAAAUAGGACGUUCGAUCCUAUUUUGUUGGUUUCUAGGAUUGACGUAAUGAUUAAUAGGGAUAGUUGGGGGCAUUAGUAUUCAAUUGUCAGAGGUGAAAUUCUUGGAUUUAUUGAAGACUAACUACUGCGAAAGCAUUUGCCAAGGAUGUUUUCAUUAAUCAAGAACGAAAGUUAGGGGAUCGAAGACGAUCAGAUACCGUCGUAGUCUUAACCAUAAACUAUGCCGACCAGGGAUCGGAUGAUGUUAAUUUUUUAAUGACUCAUUCGGCGCCUUACG
rnacentral:rRNA from 1 species